rnacentral:rRNA from 1 species
AAAAUGACUCUCGGCAACGGAUAUCUCGGCUCUUGCAUCGAUGAAGAACGUAGCGAAAUGCGAUACUUGGUGUGAAUUGCAGAAUCCCGUGAACCAUCGAGUCUUUGAACGCAAGUUGCGCCCGAAGCCACUAGGCCGAGGGCACGGCUGCCUGGGUGUCACGC